GACGAACGCUGGCGGCGUGCUUAACACAUGCAAGUCGAACGCUGAAGCACCAGCUUGCUGGUGUGGAUGAGUGGCGAACGGGUGAGUAGUACGUGAGUAACCUGCCCUUGACUCUGGGAUAAGCCCGGGAAACUGGGUCUAAUACUGGAUGCUACAUGUCACCGCAUGGUGGUGUGUGGAAAGGGUUUACUGGUCUUGGAUGGGCUCACGGCCUAUCAGCUUGUUGGUGAGGUAAUGGCUCACCAAGGCGACGACGGGUAGCCGGCCUGAGAGGGUGACCGGCCACACUGGGACUGAGACACGGCCCAGACUCCUACGGGAGGCAGCAGUGGGGAAUAUUGCACAAUGGGCGAAAGCCUGAUGCAGCGACGCCGCGUGAGGGAUGACGGCCUUCGGGUUGUAAACCUCUUUCAGCAGGGAAGAAGCCACAAGUGACGGUACCUGCAGAAGAAGCGCCGGCUAACUACGUG
rnacentral:rRNA from 1 species